GUCACUGUCGGUUGGCUACCCCCACCUCAGUAUUCAGAACUAUAGAUGAGCAUAAUUUCUUUCUUGGAUGAAUUUCUACACCCUGAGUUAGAGAGCUUCUCUUCCUUUGACAUUGUCUUUCAGAAUCUGGAGCUUCCAUAUCCGUUUCUGGUGAUCUUAAUUCAUAAAUCACCACAUGAGAAGAAGAACUUUCUUUGGUCCUAGCCAACUGUUUCCAUGAACGAAGGGAUGUCUGUUCCCGAGACUGUAUUCCUGGUUCCUCAGCCAUCACUUUCUAUUGUACUUGCAGAAAAAUUGAGUGUUUAUUCUGGAAGAAGCUUGCGAUUUCAAUAAGGUCUUCCAAAGAUAGUAGCUCUUCAGGAUAGAGAAGCUUAUGGGUACACUGAAUUUUAGGAAGUUGAGCAAAGAAUUUUAAUUUU
rnacentral:lncRNA from 1 species